rfam:Schistosoma mansoni strain Puerto Rico chromosome 4, complete genome
AUCCAGCUGACGAGUCUCAAAUAGUACUAAACGCAAGUCCUGGAU